rnacentral:rRNA from 1 species
UUUGUACUGUUGCGCUAGAGGUGAAAUUCUUGGACCGCAGCAAGACAAACUAAAGCGAAAGCAUUUGCCAAGAAUGUUUUCAUUGAUCAAGAACGAAAGUCAGAGGUUCGAAGACGAUCAGAUACCGUUUUAGUUCUGACAGUAAACGAUGCCAACUAGCAAUCCGUGGGUGUUAUUUAUAAGACUUCACGGGCAGCUCCAGGAAACUAGAGUUAGGUUCCGGGGGUAGUAUGGUUGCAAGUCUCAAACUUAAAGGAAUUGACGGAAGGGCACACAAGGAGUGGAGCCUGCGGCUUAAUUUGACUCAACACAGGAGGACCUUACCCGGCCAGGACACCGGAAGGAUUGACAGAUUGAGAGCUCUUUCUUGAUUUGGUGAAUGGUGGUGCAUGGCCGUUCGUAGUUGGUGGAUUGGUCUGUCUGCUUAAUUGCGUUAACGAGCGAGACUCUAGCCUAUUAAGUAGGAGUGACACUCAUUAUUGCGUGAUCACUUAGAAAGAGCUUCUUAGAGGGAUAACUUGCUUUCAGCAAGA